CCGUUAAGUCAGUGGUGAAAGGUAUCAGCUCAACUGAUGAAGUGCCAUUGAAACUACAGACGAGGUAGGCGGAAUUUAUGGUGUAGCGGUGAAAUGCAUAGAUACCAUAAAGAACACCGAUAGCGAAGGCAGCUUACUAGACUGAGACUGACGCUGAGGCACGAAAGCGUGGGGAGCAAAACGGGAUUAGAUACCCCGGUAGUCCA
rnacentral:rRNA from 1 species